AGAGCGAACGCUGGCGGCAGGCUUAACACAUGCAAGUCGAGCGGGCGUAGCAAUACGUCAGCGGCAGACGGGUGAGUAACGCGUGGGAACAUACCUUUUGGUUCGGAACAACCCAGGGAAACUUGAGCUAAUACCGGAUACGCCCUUACGGGGAAAGAUUUAUUGCCGAAGGAACGGCCCGCGUCCGAUUAGCUUGUUGGUGAGGUAACGGCUCACCAAGGCGACGAUCGGUAGCUGGUCUGAGAGGAUGACCAGCCUCACUGGGACUGAGACACGGCCCAGACUCCUACGGGAGGCAGCAGUGGGGAAUAUUGGACAAUGGGCGCAAGCCUGAUCCAGCCAUGCCGCGUGGAUGAUGAAGGCCCUAGGGUUGUAAGUCCGUUUUAACGGGAAGUAUAAUGACGGUACCCGUAGAAUAGCCCGGCUAACUUCGCGCCAGCAGCCGC
rnacentral:rRNA from 1 species